GACGAACGCUGGCGGCGUGCUUAACACAUGCAAGUCGAACGGAAAGGCCCUUCGGGGUACUCUAGUGGGGAACGGGUGAGUAACACGUGGGUGAUCUGCCCUGCGCUUUGGGAUAAGCCUGGGAAACUGGGUCUAAUACCGAAUAUGACCACGCGCUUCAUGGUGUGUGGUGGAAAGCUUUUGCGGUGUGGGAUGGGCCCGCGGCCUAUCAGCUUGUUGGUGGGGUAAUGGCCUACCAAGGCGACGACGGGUAGCCGGACUGAGAGGGUGACCGGCCACACUGGGACUGAGAUACGGCCCAGACUCCUACGGGAGGCAGCAGUGGGGAAUAUUGCACAAUGGGCGCAAGCCUGAUGCAGCGACGCCGCGUGAGGGAUGACGGCCUUCGGGUUGUAAACCUCUUUCAAUAGGGACGAAGCGCAAGUGACGGUACCUAUAGAAGAAGCACCGGCCAACUACGUGCCAGCAGCCGCGGUAAUACAUAUGGUGCGAGCGUUGUCCGGAAUUACUGGGCGUAUAGAGCUCGUAAGUGGUUUGUCGCGUUGUUCGUGAAAACUCACAGCUUAACUGUGGGCGUGCGGGCGAUACGGGCAGACUAGAGUACUGCAGGGGAGACUGGAAUUCCUGGUGUAGCGGUGGAAUGCGCAGAUAUCAGGAGGAACACCGGUGGCGAAGGCGGGUCUCUGGGCAGUAACUGACGCUGAGGAGCGAAAGCGUGGGGAGCGAACAGGAUUAGAUACCCUGGUAGUCCACGCCGUAAACGGUGGGUACUAGGUGUGGGCUCCUUCCUUGGGAUCCGUGCCGUAGCUAACGCAUUAAGUACCCCGCCUGGGGAGUACGGCCGCAAGGCUAAAACUCAAAGGAAUUGACGGGGGCCCGCACAAGCGGCGGAGCAUGUGGAUUAAUUCGAUGCAACGCGAAGAACCUUACCUGGGUUUGACAUGCACAGGACGCCGGCAGAGAUGUCGGUUCCCUUGUGGCCUGUGUGCAGGUGGUGCAUGGCUGUCGUCAGCUCGUGUCGUGAGAUGUUGGGUUAAGUCCCGCAACGAGCGCAACCCUUGUCCUAUGUUGCCAGCGGGUUAUGCCGGGGACUCGUAGGAGACUGCCGGGGUCAACUCGGAGGAAGGUGGGGAUGACGUCAAGUCAUCAUGCCCCUUAUGUCCAGGGCUUCACACAUGCUACAAUGGCCGGUACAAAGGGCUGCGAUGCCGUGAGGUGGAGCGAAUCCUUUCAAAGCCGGUCUCAGUUCGGAUCGGGGUCUGCAACUCGACCCCGUGAAGUCGGAGUCGCUAGUAAUCGCAGAUCAGCAACGCUGCGGUGAAUACGUUCCCGGGCCU
rnacentral:rRNA from 1 species